rnacentral:rRNA from 1 species
GCUUAAGAAAAGGAUUUUAGUCCUGCCUAAAGCAUAUUAAAUUCUUUUAAAUUGCACUUAUACUUUAGAGUUAUUCAAAUAAGGUACAGCCUAUUUGAGAAAGGAUACAACCUGCACUAAUGGGUUAUUUUUUAGAGACAUAAACAAGUGGGCCUAAAAGCAGCCACCUUUAAAAUAGCGUCAAAGCUUACUUAUUAAGAAUUCUAAUUCCAUUAUACUUCUAUAAGCCCUUUAUCUUUAUUAAGCAAUUUUAUAUUUUUAUCAAAGACACUAUGUUAAAACUAGUAAUAAGAAGAGGACCUUCUCUUAAAUGUAUGUGUAAAUCAGAAAGGACAGCCCACUGAUAAUUAAACGCCUAUGAACAUAAAACAGCAACUUUUCUAGAAAACCCUGUUUAAUAAAACGUUAACCUAACACAAGAACAUUUGAAGAAAGAUUAAAAGAAAAAGAAGGAACUCGGCAAAUAUUAACCUCGCCUGUUUACCAAAAACAUCGCCUCUUGAAGCAAUUAUAAGAGGUCCAGCCUGCCCAGUGACUUAAUUCAACGGCCGCGGUAUCCUAACCGUGCGAAGGUAGCGUAAUCACUUGUUCUUUAAAUGAGGACUAGUAUGAAUGGCAUCACGAAGGUUGUACUGUCUCCUUUUUCUAAUCAAUGAAACUGAUCUCCCCGUGAAGAAGCGGGAAUAAAAAUAUAAGACGAGAAGACCCUAUGGAGCUUUAAACUAAAUAGCACUAACUUUUUAAUAAUAAAGUUUCAGAACAAAAAUAACCAUUUUAGUUAAAAUGACUAUUAGUUUUAGGUUGGGGUGACCACGGAGAAAAAUAUAUCCUCCACAUUGGAACGGGAAUCUCCUGAGCUAAAAGCUACAACUUUAAGCACCAAUAAACUGACAUUAAUUGACCCAAUAUUUUGAUCAAUGAACCAAGUUACCCUAGGGAUAACAGCGCAAUCUACCUUAAGAGCCCCUAUCGACAGGUGGGUUUACGACCUCGAUGUUGGAUCAGGGCAUCCUAGUGGUGCAGCCGCUACUAAUGGUUCGUUUGUUCAACGAUUAAAGCCCU